rnacentral:rRNA from 1 species
CAGUCGCCGCGGGAAUGCGUAGGUGGCAAGCGUUGUCCGGAAUUAUUGGGCGUAAAGGGCUCGCAGGCGGUUUCUUAAGUCUGAUGUGAAAGCCCCCGGCUCAACCGGGGAGGGUCAUUGGAAACUGGGAAACUUGAGUGCAGAAGAGGAGAGUGGAAUUCCACGUGUAGCGGUGAAAUGCGUAGAGAUGUGGAGGAACACCAGUGGCGAAGGCGACUCUCUGGUCUGUAACUGACGCUGAGGAGCGAAAGCGUGGGGAGCGAACAGGAUUAGAUACCCGUGUAGUCCCUGUCUCUUAUAC